AUGAACGCUAGCUACAGGCUUAACACAUGCAAGUCGAGGGGCAGCAUGGUCUUAGUUUGCUAAGGCUGAUGGCGACCGGCGCACGGGUGAGUAACACGUAUCCAACCUGCCGUCUACUCUUGGCCAGCCUUCUGAAAGGAAGAUUAAUCCAGGAUGGGAUCAUGAGUUCACAUGUCCGCAUGAUUAAAGGUAUUUUCCGGUAGACGAUGGGGAUGCGUUCCAUUAGAUAGUAGGCGGGGUAACGGCCCACCUAGUCAACGAUGGAUAGGGGUUCUGAGAGGAAGGUCCCCCACAUUGGAACUGAGACACGGUCCAAACUCCUACGGGAGGCAGCAGUGAGGAAUAUUGGUCAAUGGGCGAUGGCCUGAACCAGCCAAGUAGCGUGAAGGAUGACUGCCCUAUGGGUUGUAAACUUCUUUUAUAAAGGAAUAAAGUCGGGUAUGCAUACCCGUUUGCAUGUACUUUAUGAAUAAGGAUCGGCUAACUCCGUGCCAGCAGCCGCGGUAAUACGGAGGAUCCGAGCGUUAUCCGGAUUUAUUGGGUUUAAAGGGAGCGUAGAUGGAUGUUUAAGUCAGUUGUGAAAGUUUGCGGCUCAACCGUAAAAUUGCAGUUGAUACUGGAUGUCUUGAGUGCAGUUGAGGCAGGCGGAAUUCGUGGUGUAGCGGUGAAAUGCUUAGAUAUCACGAAGAACUCCGAUUGCGAAGGCAGCCUGCUAAGCUGCAACUGACAUUGAGGCUCGAAAGUGUGGGUAUCAAACAGGAUUAGAUACCCUGGUAGUCCACGCUGUAAACGAUGAUUACUAGGUGUGGGGGGACUGACCCCUUCCGUGCCGCAGUUAACACAAUAAGUAAUCCACCUGGGGAGUACGACCGCAAGGUUGAAACUCAAAGGAAUUGACGGGGGCCCGCACAAGCGGUGGAGUAUGUGGUUUAAUUCGAAGCAACGCGAAGAACCUUACCAAGUCUUGACAUCCCACUGACAGAGUAUGUAAUGUACUUUCUCUUCGGAGCAGUGGUGACAGGUGGUGCAUGGUUGUCGUCAGCUCGUGCCGUGAGGUGUCGGCUUAAGUGCCAUAACGAGCGCAACCCUUGUUGUCAGUUACUAACAGGUGAUGCUGAGGACUCUGACAAGACUGCCAUCGUAAGAUGUGAGGAAGGUGGGGAUGACGUCAAAUCAGCACGGCCCUUACGUCCGGGGCUACACACGUGUUACAAUGGGGGGUACAGAGGGCCGCUACCACGCGAGUGGAUGCCAAUCCCUAAAACCCCUCUCAGUUCGGACUGGAGUCUGCAACCCGACUCCACGAAGCUGGAUUCGCUAGUAAUCGCGCAUCAGCCAUGGCGCGGUGAAUACGUUCCCGGGCCUUGUACACACCGCCCGUCAAGCCAUGGGAGCCGGGGGUACCUGAAGUGCGUAACCGCGAGGAUCGCCCUAGGGUAAAACUGGUGACUGGGGCU
rnacentral:rRNA from 1 species